AAGUAGGCUAGGAGGAGCGUUGAAAAUAUCGUGACAAGUAGUUUCCGUGCGCCCGAGAGCGUGUGAAUUGCGCCUAAUUGCCGUGUCCGGUGCGCCUCUACGUAGCCGUGUGUAACCCCUCGGCUUCUAGGACGCGGGCUCCGCUGCGCGGCUCUCAGAGGCCCCGGGCGCUUGGCAAGGCCGAGUUUCCCAAGUGGCCCUGGUGGCCGGGGGCGGGAUAGGGGCAGAUCCUCUUGAACGCAGGACGCGCAUCGGUCAGUCCGUCCUUCCCGGCCUGAGACAAGGUCGCCACGGACCCCCAUGAGUAGUUUUAACUUUCACCUUCCACUCCCGUACUGACGUCAUGGCCCUGAGGAACAGCUCGAUCUGCAGAGGAGACGCACGAACACGCGUGUGGAUACACUCACAUCUGUACACACACAGACCACGACAACAUUUUCCUCCGGAUCAACUCUCGCCGUGUUAAUUAAGAGUCUCAGCCGCGUGCACCCCUGCGUGGACAGAGAAGUGCAGCCUGGUUUGCUGUCCCCGCCCCCGAGCCCGCUACAAUGGCCCUUUUACGGGGUCAAAGCCACGGAUCCGGCCUAAACCGGGGCCAGGGACCCAGGCACAGUUCUGCAACCAGAAAGAACCUCUUUCAUCGUGGCCCUUGACUUCUCGGGCGCUCUUCCUGUGAGGGGCCCUGCGCCUCGCGAUUCCCCUCCAGGCCCUUAAGUCCCGCCAGAGUCUGCGAGGCAAGUUCUAUUAUUCCACUUGACAGGUGAGAGCACAGACCCAGGGAGGUGAGGUGACGGGUCCCCCAUCUCAGAAGCAGUACGGGACAGAAAAGAAUUCGAACUCAGGAGACCAGAGGAGACCCCUACCCAAGGCCCAAGUUGUGCACGGUUCCAGGCACGGCGUCAGGCUGGGCGCGGCAGAUGGAAUUCAGGCCCGAGGCCCUUCUCAGCACCUCGCCCUCUGGGGUCCGCGGGACCCUCUGGUGCUCCGCCUCUCCCCGGGCCUUCGACCCCCUUCAGCAGAGGAGCGGUCCAGGGAGCCACCUGAGGGCGAAGCAGCGGUGGCACCGAGUUGAGAGCGCGGCGAGAAUCCCCAGCGCAGAGCCCCUGAGCCCAGCCGGCCGCAGCCCUUCUUUGGAUCAAGCCCGGGCGUCUGCAGGGUGCGUGCGGAAGCGGCGGCCGCCCAGUGUCGCCAGGCUUCCUGUCUCCACAGCUUUCUGGCUGGGCGCAGCUGAGCCUGGGACAAACGCGCGGAGAGUACUGUUCAUUGCCCAACUAUUUGCUUGUAUUUUUGAGCGCCUAAUGUGUACCGCUACCCUGAUAAACUCUUGAUGUUGCGCUGUGCUGCUUGGUACCCAGUCCUUGGGGGGAGGUGUGACGUUCCACGUUUUAGAGACAAGACCGCCGAUGUUCAGCAAGGCCCGGAAUUCAACUUGCCCGGGGUUACAGUGCGGCUGAGCGUCGAGGAAGAUGGGAACCUAGAUCCCAUUCCCACUCAGGUUCUUUUCUUCUUACCUUCAGUUCCAGUUGGACAGGGUCAGACCUAGGGGCUUUCGUUCGGUUCGAUUCCAUUCAGUUGAGAGAUGAUUCACAGAAACUCGAGAGAACGGGUCUUUAAUUUCAUUCAUUUUGAGCACCUAGUAAAUGCCUUGGGGCUCGAGGAUAAAUCAGUUGUGAUGGACCCUUAAAGUGUUCAUGGACCAACUAGGGACACAGUCACCCAUCAGUGACCUCACGAUGAGAAACAGGGUUGAGGUGGGAGUGAGGAAAGGAGGGUUAAGGGAGACUUCCUGAAGAAAGGGAUCCCUGAAGUGAAACGUUCAAUUUCCCAAAUCGAAACAUUAUUAUUGUUUGUUCUGAUAAAACAUUACAAAACAUUUUAGACAAUAUAGUAAAUUUGGAAUUCCUUGUCUGUCUAUUUACCGUUACAAAAAUAUACUUUUUGUUACUUGUUUUAUUUACAAAUGUGAUAAACAUUUUUUCAUAUUAAUAUAUCUACAUAACCUUAAAAAUUGCUUAAUAUUUCAGUGUGUGGAUGUACUUUAAUUUAGCCAAUUUCCUCUUGAGGUAUUUUGUUUGUUUCCAAUUUUUGCUACAAUAAACAUUACUACAAUGAA